rnacentral:lncRNA from 1 species
GGCUAUAUGCUCUUUUUAGAGCAGAGCAUUCUAAAGUGAACCUCAUAAUUUGGUUUUCUUUUUUUUUCUUUUAAAAAAAUCUUAACUUAUUAUUAUGUUAGUACACUAUCACUGUCUUUAGACACACCAGAAGAGGACAUCAGAUCUCAUUAUGAAUGGUUGUAAGCCACCAUUUGGUUGCAGGGAUUUGAACUCAGGACCUUCAGAAGAGCAGUCAGUGCUCUUAACCACUGAGCCAUCUCUCCACCCCAUAAUUUGGUUUUCAUAAUUUAGUUUGAAAAUGAUUUCAUGAUUAUAUAGCAGGAUUUCUCUGUCAUGGGCUAUGUGUGGGGAUUAUCAAGAUCAAAUGAAUAUAUUGUCAGUGAAGUAUUCAUUACAGUAUUAUCAAUGUCACACUUUGUGUUGUAAAUAUGUAUGGGAUUUUAGGAUGCAUUGACCUUUGAUGAUGUGCAUGUACACUUCACUCGGGAGGAGUGGUCCUUGCUGGAUCCAUCUCAGAAGAGACUUUACAAAGAUGUGAUGCUGGAGAUCUACAAAAACCUCACUGCCAUAGGGUACAAAUGGAAAGACCAUAACGUUGGAGAACAUUCUCAAAAUGAUAGAAGAUAUGGAAGACAUGAAAGAAGUCCUGUUGGAGAGAACCACAAUGAAUAUACACAAUGUGAUAAAGCCUUCACAUAUCACAGUCAUCUUCAAAAGCUUGAAAGAAACCAAACUCGAGAGAAACACUCUGAAGGCUUUCAACAUAUGGAAGCACUUGCAUGUCAGAGUUCUCUCCAAAUACAUAAAAUAACACAUACUGGAGAGAAACCCUACAAAUGUAAUCAAUGUGAUAAAGCCUUUGCACAGCUCAAGUAUCUUCGAUUACAUGAAAGAAUACAUACUGGAGAGAAACCUUACAAAUGUAAUCAGUGUGAUAAAGCCUUUGCACAAGGCAGUAAUCUCAAAGUACAUACAAGGAUGCAUACUGGAGAGAAACCCUAUGAAUGUAAUCAAUGUGGUAAAGCCUUUUUACAAUCCAGCUGUCUUCGAAUACAUGAAAGAACACAUACUGGAGAGAAACCCUACAAAUGUAAUCAAUGUGAUAAAGCCUUUGCACAGCUCAAGUAUCUUCGAAUACAUGAAAGAACGCAUACUGGAGAGAAACCUUACAAAUGUGAUCAGUGUGAUAAAGCCUUUGCACAAGACAGUAAUCUCAAAGUUCAUACACGGAUGCAUACUGGAAAGACACCCUAUGAAUGUAAUCAAUGUGGUAAAACCUUUUUACAACCCAGAUAUCUUCGAGUACAUGAAAAAACACAUACUGGAGAGAAACCCUACAAAUGUAAUCAAUGCGGUAAAGCCUUUGCACAGGUCAAGUAUCUUCGAGCACAUGAAAGAAGACAUACUGGAGAGAAACCUUACAAAUGUGAUCAAUGUGGUAAGGCCUUUACACAAAGAGGUCAACUUCAAACCCAUAAAGUAAUACAUACUGGAGGGAGACUCUAAAUAUGUAAUCAGUGUGAUGAAGUCUAUUCACACCAGAGUCAUCUUCCAAUACAUGAAAGAACAUCAUAUACUGGAGAGAAACCUUAUAAAUGUGAUCAGUGUAGUAAAUCAUUUUUAUCUCACAGUCAUUAUCAAGCUGAUGAAAGAACACAUACUGGAUAGAAACUCUACAAAUAUAAUGAAUGUGAUAAAGCCUUUUCACAGCCCAGGUAUCUUCAAAUACAUGAAAGAACACAUACAGGAGAGAAACCUUACCAAUGUAAUCAGUGUGAUAAAGCCUUUGCACAAGGCAAUAAUCUCAAAGUUCAUACAAGGAUGCAUAUUGGAGAGAUCCCCAUGAGUGUAAUCAAUGUGGUAAAGCCUUUGCAUAUGACUAAUCUUUUGGGAUGCAUAAAAGAACAGAUUCUGGAGAGAAACAUUACAAACAUAAUGUGGUAAAGCCUUUGCAGAAAACAGUCAUCUUCAAACCCGUAAAAUACUACAUCCUGGAGAGACUCUGCAAAUGUAAUCAGUGUGAUAAUGCCUCUUCACAACAGAGAGGUCUCCAAAUACAUAAAAGGAAACAUUCUGUAGAGAAACCUUAGAAAUGUAGUCAAUGUGAUGAAGCCUAUUCACAGCACAAUGGUCUUACCUACAAUAACUCAUACUGGAGAGAAACCCUAUGAACGUAAGGGAUUUGGUAAAGCCUUUGCACAUUACAAUACGCUCCAAUAACAUAAAACGACCAUACUGAAGAAACUCUAUAAAUGUAAUCACAGGGUGAAGCAUUUGAACAUCACAGUAGUCUCUGGAAACAAAAAAGGAACCAUCUAGGAAAGAACUCCUAUAAAGUUCUUUAACAUGGUAAGGUCUUUGCACAUAUCUGUAGUCUUCAUCCUCAUGGAAGGAUUCAUACAGUAGAGAAACCAUAUGAACAAAAGAAAUGUAGUAAUGCUUUUGCUCAUCACAGUUAUCUCUUAUUAUAGAAAAAAGGAGAUAUUAGAGAAAGAUCCUACAAGUAUGAUAGAAGUGAUGAAGCCAUUGCACAACACAGUUAUCUCUGACUACAUUAAAGGAAAUAUAAUGAUGACAAACACUAUGAAUGUAAAAAGGGGGGGGGGUAAGCCCAUUAUAUAACAUGGUCAACUUUGAAUAUAGAAAAGUACAUACUAGACAGGAACCCUAUGAAUAUCAGCAAUGUAGUAAACACAUGAAACCAUUCAUACUGGAGAGAAACAGUAUUGAAGGUAUUAAAUAUGGUGAAGUCUUUGUAACAGUGGUCUGUAGAUACACACACACAAGUCUUCAUGCAGAAGAACAUCCCUCCAAAUAUAAUUGAUGUGAUAAACCAUUUUUAUGUUAUCUUUGAAUACAUCAAAGAACACAUACUGAAGAGAAAACCUAUGAGUGUAAGCAAUAGUGUAAUAUCUUUUCAUAUUAAGGUAAAAGAAUAAAUGCUCUGGAAAAACCCUCCUAAAGCAGUCUGUGAGAUGAAGCCAUUUUACAUCACAGUCAUCUUCAAAAGCAUGCAAAGAGUCGUUCUCGAGAGAAACCUUAUGAAUGUAUUUUAAAAUGUAAAGCCUUUGGAAAUUUCUAUAGCCUUCAUGAUCAUGAAACUAUUCAUAGAGGAGUGAAUCUCUGUGAAUGCAAGCAAUGUGGUAAACCCUUUGCUUACACAUUACAGUUCUCACAAAAUGCAGAAAACAACACAUACUGGCGAGAAACCUUAUGAAUAUAUUUAAUAUUGUGAAGCCUUUGCACAUUUCUGUAGUCAUCAUCAUGACUAUUUAUACUGGAGAGAAGGCCUGUGAAUGUGAGCAACGUGGCAAUCUUUUUAUUCACCAGAUGCAAAGAAAACAUACAGUAGAGAAACCUUAUGAAUGGGCUCACUGUGGUAAAGCCUAUGCACAUCACAAUAAUCCCUGAAUACAUAUAAGAACACAUUCUGGAGAAAAGCCCAAUGAAUGAAUGUAAUCAAUGACAUAAGAAAUUUGCAUGUGGCAGUAGUCUUUGAAUAUAUUAAAGAACAGAUACUAGAGAGAAAACAUACGACUGUUUGGGGAAAUGUGAAAGAACUCAUAAUGUAGAGAAUCUGAAUAUAAAGGAUUUGGUAAGAUCAUUACGUUCAGCUACACAAGAUUAUUCUGGAGAAAAGUAGUCCGACAAAUGUCAACCAUCUACUAAGCACAGUGUUCCUUUUUAUUUUACAUGCACCUGCAAACUCAGCUGGACAAAACUACUAUGGAUUUAAAUGACAAACAAAAAACCCUUUAGAUUUUUCUUCUCUUGAAUUUCACAAAACUCUGGUAUAAAAUUUUUGGGUGUGUAUUGAUGACUUUUUUGUUUCUGAGAUAAAACAUAAUAUCUAAUACAACUUACAAAGAAGUUUAGUUUGGCUUAUGGUUCCACACCACCAUAGUGUCAUUAAAUCAGUUGUGAGACAUGGCAGCUAAGGGAGGAAGCUCAGCUAUCACAUUUUCAACUUGCACCAUGUAGCAAGGAGUGGGAACUAGAGCUGUCAUACAGAUGUAAACUCUAAAGCCCACCUCCACUGACAUAUUUCCUCCACCAGGGCAUUAUUUGUUAAAUGAUACAAUGGUUUCAAAUGAUACAAUCAACAUAGAAGGAUUGAUUUCUCUGAUUGCAAACAUACCUCUGUAUGUAUUUAUAGCCCUGUAAAUAUUUGAAAGUGUUUAUGUAUUAUGUUGACAUCAGGUAAUAAAACAUUCAUACAUGAGAGAAAUCCUAUUCCCACAAACAAUUUAGUUAAGAUUUUGACAUCACAUUCAAUCCCCAUAAAAUUAUUGCUACACCUCUUUUUCCUUUUUUAUUUUUUGUUUUGUUUUGUUUUUUGAGACAGGCUUUCUCUGUGUAGCCCUGGCUCUUCUGGAACUGACUUUGUAGACCAGGCUGGCCUCGAACUCAGAAAUCUGCCUGCCUCUGCCUCCCAAGUGCUGGGAUUAAAGGCGUGCGCCACCAUCUCCCGGCUACACCUCUUUUUCUUAAUAGCCUUCAAGCAAGUAAAUAAUUCACCAUGUUCAUGCAAGUCUGAUGCUUCAUAUGAGGUUUAUAUUUUGAGAGUUCUGAACUUGGUGUUGAAGUGUGCUGUAUGUGUGACAAAUGCCAUUAUUUAAACGUGUUUUGGCUUAGAGACUAUUAAUGACUACUUCUAUUUCUUUAGGGGAUAUGGGACUGUUUAGAUCGUUAACUUGAUCCUGAUUGGUUUCUGUGUCCUGCUCUGUGUGCUACUGCUGGGUGCUGUGAGGGGAAUUCAGGCGAGCUCAGACCUCGCGACAUGGAUGCAUUGACCUUUGAUGAUGUGCAUAUACACUUCACUCGGGAGGAGUGGUCCUUGCUGGAUCCAUCUCAGAAGAGACUUUACAAAGAUGUCAUGCUGGAGAACUACAGGAAUCUCACCACUAUAG